UUGAAUUUUUGAAAACUUGGGUCAAGC
rnacentral:piRNA from 1 species